rnacentral:rRNA from 1 species
GACGAACGCUGGCGGCGUGCUUAACACAUGCAAGUCGAACGGAAAGGCCCUGCUUUUGUGGGGUGCUCGAGUGGCGAACGGGUGAGUAACACGUGAGUAACCUGCCCUUGACUUUGGGAUAACUUCAGGAAACUGGGGCUAAUACCGGAUAGGAGCUCCUGCUGCAUGGUGGGGGUUGGAAAGUUUCGGCGGUUGGGGAUGGACUCGCGGCUUAUCAGCUUGUUGGUUGGGUAGUGGCUUACCAAGGCUUUGACGGGUAGCCGGCCUGAGAGGGUGACCGGCCACAUUGGGACUGAGAUACGGCCCAGACUCGUACGGGAGGCAGCAGUGGGGAAUAUUGUACAGUGGGCGGAAGCCUGAUGCAGCAACGCCGCGUGCGGGAAGACGGCCUUCGGGUUGUAAACCGCAUUCGCCUGAGACGAAGCGUGAGUGACGGUAAUGGGUGAAGAAGCACCGGCUAACUACGUG